rnacentral:lncRNA from 1 species
AUAUGAUCACCCUCAGUAACACAGUCUCACGUGGCAUUAAUAAUAUGUAUAGUAUAAGGUUCAACUUUCUCUGGAUUUCUUUCUUUUCAAUUCUGUUCUUUCCCAGGUGGAAAACUAUCAUAUCACUCUGACCAUAGGAUCCAUGUCUUCAAAGUUUGCUUUUUGACAUCUUACAGGAGUUAAGAUGUGCUGCCUCCUUGGAGUUUCUGCAACCUCUUCCACACUCAUAGAGCACUGACUUCAUUGGAUUUCAAUUGUUUGUUGGUAUUGAAUUCCUACUUCAGAAGAUUAGUGAAAAACUACCCAUUACAGUCUAUGAUAAAACAAAAUAUUUCCAAGAAAAUCAUAAAAUUCCAAGUCUCUGAGAUAAUGAUGUAGCAUUGAAGAAAAUGUGUUAGCUGGGUAAAGAAGGACAUUGUGGAAUGUAAAUGAAGAAUAUCAUGAGAUCUGGAAAAGUAAUUUCACCCAUUUUGACCUGAUAUGAAAAUAAGAGAAUGGCAGACCCAGAAAAGGAGCGAAGUAACAAGACCAUGAACGGAGAAAAAGUACGGAGAAUCUCUCAGUGUGAGGCAAGUCACAUUGAUUCCUCCAUGGAGAACAAAAGAUGUCAAUCAUCUUUAUAUUUGCACCAAGUGCACCGGGCUGGGAUCUCUACCGUGG